rnacentral:tRNA from 1 species
GAGGGUGUAGCUCAGUGGUAGGGCUGCUGCUUGGCACCCAGGAGCUCCUGGGUUCCAUCCCCAGCACCUCCA